UACGAAGGGGGCUAGCGUUGUUCGGAAUUACUGGGCGUAAAGCGUGCGCAGGCGGCUGCUCAAGUCAGGGGUGAAAGCCCAGAGCUCAACUCUGGAACUGCCUUUGAGACUGAGUGGCUUGAGUACGGGAGAGGUGAGUGGAAUUCCCAGUGUAGAGGUGAAAUUCGUAGAUAUUGGGAAGAACACCGGUGGCGAAGGCGGCUCACUGGCCCGUAACUGACGCUCAUGCACGAAAGCGUGGGGAGCAAACAGG
rnacentral:rRNA from 1 species